AGUGAACGCUGGCGGUAGGCCUAACACAUGCAAGUCGAACGGCAGCACAGUAAGAGCUUGCUCUUACGGGUGGCGAGUGGCGGACGAGUGAGGAAUACAUCGGAAUCUACUUUUUCGUGGGGGAUAACGUAGGGAAACUUACGCUAAUACCCCAUACGACCUACGGGUGAAAGCAGGGGAUCUUCGGACCUUGCGCGAUUGAAUGAGCCGAUGUCGGAUUAGCUAGUUGGCGGGGUAAAGGCCCACCAAGGCGACGAUCCGUAGCUGGUCUGAGAGGAUGAUCAGCCACACUGGAACUGAGACACGGUCCAGACUCCUACGGGAGGCAGCAGUGGGGAAUAUUGGACAAUGGGCGAAAGCCUGAUCCAGCCAUACCGCGUGGGCGAAGAAGGCCUUCGGGUUGUAAAGCCCUUUUGUUGGGAAAGAAAAGCAGCAGGUUAAUACCCCGCUGUUCUGACGGUACCCAAAGAAUAAGCACCGGCUAACUUCGUG
rnacentral:rRNA from 1 species